rnacentral:rRNA from 1 species
AAAAUUAGUGGCUGGAAGGAAAAAUUAUUGUCUACUAAGGGAAAGGAGAUCCUGCUCAAGCCGGUGAUCCAAGCCAUACCCACCUAUGCAAUGUCAGUCUUUAAAAUUCCGAACAAUUGUAAAGGAAUAAUUGACGCGAUAAGGCACUUCUUGUGGGGAGAUGAGGAGAACCAGAAAAGGAUACACUGGAUGUCAUGGUGGAAAAUGUACGUGCCAAAAAAUCAAGGAGGGAUGGGAUUCCGUGAUAUUCACCGCUUCAACUUGGCGUUGCUCGCCAAACAGGUGUGCCGUCUUCUAGAUAAUCCUUAUUCCUUGUGUGCUUCUAUCCUAAGUGCUACCCUCAUGGUGAUUUGUUGA